UCAGAUAUGGUGUAAUGGUAACAUGGUCUUAUUACUAACGCUGACACAGUCUCGGGUUCGAUUCCCGAUGUCUGAC